rnacentral:rRNA from 1 species
AUUGAACGCUGGCGGCAGGCCUAACACAUGCAAGUCGAGCGAGCGGCGGCCGGGUGAGUAAUGCCUGGGAAUUGCCCAGUCGCGGGGGAUAACAGUUGGAAACGACUGCUAAUCCCGCCUACGAUUGGAUUGCCCAGGUGGGAUUAGCUAGUUGGUGAGGUAAUGGCUCACCAAGGAGACGAUCCCUAGCUGGUCUGAGAGGCUGAUCGGCCACACUGGAACUGAGAACCGGUCCAAACUCCUACGGGAGGCAGAAGUGGGGAAUAGUGCACAAUGGGGGAAACCCUGAUGCAGCCAUGCGGCGUGUGUGAAGAAGGUCUUCGGGUUGUAAAGCACUUUCAGUGAGGAGGCGUUACUCGCAGAAGAAGCACCGGCUAACUCCGUGCCAGCAGCCGCGGUAAUAC